UGCAGUCGAGCGGACAGAUGGGAGCUUGCUCCCUGAUGUUAGCGGCGGACGGGUGAGUAACACGUGGGUAACCUGCCUGUAAGACUGGGAUAACUCCGGGAAACCGGGGCUAAUACCGGAUGCUUGUUUGAACCGCAUGGUUCAAACAUAAAAGGUGGCUUCGGCUACCACUUACAGAUGGACCCGCGGCGCAUUAGCUAGUUGGUGAGGUAAUGGCUCACCAAGGCAACGAUGCGUAGCCGACCUGAGAGGGUGAUCGGCCACACUGGGACUGAGACACGGCCCAGACUCCUACGGGAGGCAGCAGUAGGGAAUCUUCCGCAAUGGACGAAAGUCUGACGGAGCAACGCCGCGUGAGUGAUGAAGGUUUUCGGAUCGUAAAGCUCUGUUGUUAGGGAAGAACAAGUACCGUUCGAAUAGGGCGGUACCUUGACGGUACCUAACCAGAAAGCCACGGCUAACUACGUGCCAGCAGCCGCGGUAAUACGUAGGUGGCAAGCGUUGUCCGGAAUUAUUGGGCGUAAAGGGCUCGCAGGCGGUUCCUUAAGUCUGAUGUGAAAGCCCCCGGCUCAACCGGGGAGGGUCAUUGGAAACUGGGGAACUUGAGUGCAGAAGAGGAGAGUGGAAUUCCACGUGUAGCGGUGAAAUGCGUAGAGAUGUGGAGGAACACCAGUGGCGAAGGCGACUCUCUGGUCUGUAACUGACGCUGAGGAGCGAAAGCGUGGGGAGCGAACAGGAUUAGAUACCCUGGUAGUC
rnacentral:rRNA from 1 species